GUAAAUAUAGUUUACAAAAAACAUCAGACUGUGAACCUGAUAACAGGAUAUUAAAUUCCUUAUUUACC
rnacentral:tRNA from 1 species